UUUCAACUUUUAUUUUCUGUUUUUCAUCCUCGUUCUUUCUUGUUCUUGCUUUCUGCUUUUGUUUUAUGUGACUUUAUUGGAAUUCUGUUGCGUUCGACGUUUGGUUUGACAAGAAAGCGCGGGAUAAAUUUAUUGAAGCUUCAUGAUGUUUGGUUGGUACUUCCAUAGAGAACGAAGAACUCGUUGCAAUAGUUGUUACGGAGUUCUCUAAAGAGGAUUUGUGCGUCUAUUUGUGUCUUUGUUAUUUCAAAAUACCGAAAAUUUAAAUCUAAAAACUUGGAUAAUGCAAUGGGAUUUCUAAUUAUUCCUCCCGAAAAGGGACUUGUUAAUUGUGAACUUUCUGGGCCUUCUGGUUGAUCUCUUACAGUUUACUUUCGAAUAUUGUCAUUCAUUCAUGGCAGGUUUUAAGCCCGGCCGGUUUGUAUUUUUCAUCCCAGUCAAAUAACGAAUGAGAAGAAUGGCAUAAUGAAUUGCAUGAUAUAUUUUCUCUCAAUGCUUAGUUGCUGAGAAAAUAUGGGAAAAUAUCGUUAGUAAGCAUUAGCUGUCAUCCAUCAAUUUUUUUCUUUCCCGCUCUGUUCAGGUAGGUAAAUGGCAUGGAAUAUAGGUGUUAUCAAGCUUACAUGGACACCCCCAAGCCCAUGUCAAAGUUUUGCUUUCCUUUCUUUUCUUCUGUUCCCUCUCAACAGGAACGGUAGAAAGAAUUGCAUUGCUGUAUUUACCUCUUGGAACCAAACGGAAAGUUUAGGAAAGACGGACUUUUUAAUAGCCAUUCAACCUGAACUUAUUUUUAAAGCUGAACUUGCGCUUUGUUUUGUUUACUAGCUUUCAUCUUUCAAUAUUCAAAAUCCGGUAUGUUUUUGAGCUUAUUCUAAAACAUAUCAUUCAUGAACAGCUUUAUGAAUUUAUUGUUUUAAUUGAAUAUUGAAUGUCCUCCAUGAUCUUGUGGUGACAUUUUAGAAUUUCAUAUUUAGUGAAGUAUGAAAAAUUUUGUGAAAUAUGAGAGCAUAUGUAAGAUAAACUGAAUUUUUUUUGGGGGGCAAUUUGCAUUAAUUUUGGAAUGGAUGAACUGCUCUGAGCUUGGAGCUGGCUGUUUAUUUCGUUAUACCACUCCAUAUUUUUUGGUAAAAAUGCUGUGAUCUGGCUUAUUCUUUAAACAGGAAAUGGAACUUUCUCUCGUUGGCCUUCAGAAUGCAGGAAAGACAUCUCUUGUUAAUGCCAUUGCUACAGGGGUUUACAGUGAGGACAUGAUUCCAACUGUAGGUUGGAUUCAAUAUGCGAAAAGUUACUAAGGGAAAUGUGACAAUGAAGCUUUGGGACCUUGGAGGGCAGAGGAGGUUUCGUUCAAUGUGGGAGCGUUACUGCCGUGGUGUCUCUGUGAUUCUGUAAUGCCUCUAGUCUUUGAUCUUCUCUCUUUGUUGUACCAAAGUAUCUUCUGCUGGUUUCUAACAAUUCAUUUAUCUGCCACUUGCUUUUAGCGACACAAGCAAAUAUCCGUCAGUGUUCAAGAAUGUUGCUCUGACCCCAAGAAACUAAUUCUGACUCCCAUAUAAGUCCUAAUGUAUAUAUAUUAAAUACUUACUCGCUUUACAGGCGCUACAAAGCAUUGUCUACGGGAUAAAUUUGACUUCUUGAGAUAACUCUCUAAUCAGGUACCAUAAUAAAAUAACAUUAAUUAAGCUACAGUUUUUUUUUCUUGCUGGGCCAUCACAGCCACAGUUUAGUGAGGUUGACUGCAGAACCUUUUUGACUCCUGGUCAUGUAGACUUGAGUUGAAAUUGAAAAUGGACAUCAAAGUUUGUGGAUCUGCAAUAAAGCAUAGAAUAAGAAGGCCGUUGAACUUCAUCUUCGAAUUCGUGAACUUUGUCACUCUGUUUGGAAAAAAAAAAAAAAAAAAAAACACACUUAUCAUUUGAGGGAAAAAAAAUCUGCAUCUGAUGUGCUUUCAUAUGUUCUUCUUCAAUGCAUUUCAGUACAUAGUUGUUUUUCUUUUAGCACCAGGUUGUGGGUGGGAUUGCUAUUCAUACAUGCCUAUUUCAUCUUAUAAGUUGCAUCAAGUGAUGACUAUGCUGCAGGUUUCCUCAUACGGCAUUUGCCAGACUCACAAACAAAAGGAAAAUUGAAACUUCAAAGAUCAAUUCAAUAUUUUAGAAGUGGAGGGGGUAGAUAAGCUGGAAUCUUGCAGAGACUAUUCAAAAUCUAAGUAGUUGCUAGUUAUCUAUUUCAUUAGCUAAAUUAGCACAUGGUUCACAAUACUUUCUUUAUUUACGUGGGCGUGAUAGCCCCAGUUUAGUUCAUUUAGUAAUGGUAAAGGUGUCUUCAAUUUAUGAUGGAUGCAAAAACAGGUAUGUAGUAGAUGCUGCUGAUAGAGACAGUAUUCCCAUAUCUCGAACUGAGCUACAUGACCUCUUGAUGAAACCAUCAAUAAGUGAAAUUCCUUUACUUGUUCUUGGCAACAAAAUUGACAAGUCAGAAGCUCUUUCCAAGCAAGCGUUGGUGGAUCAGCUGUAAGUCCAAGAAAAAUCUUAGUAGCAGUGUAAUUAUAGUGAUAAUAAAUCUUGUUUCUCGUUCUCCUUCCCUAUAUGAUUUUGAAAUCUUAACGCUUUAUUGAGUGGUUUCAGAGGCCUCGAAACUAUUAAAGACAGAGAAGUGUGCUGCUAUAUGAUCUCAUGCAAGGAUUCGAUAAACAUAGAUGUUGUCAUUGAUUGGCUAAUCAAGCACUCAAAAACAGCAAAAUGAUUCAUGGGUCGACUUUCUUUGGUGUUCAGAUGAAGACUGAGGAAAGUCUGACAAGCAAAUGUGGUGAUAGAAACUCUUCCUGGUGGAGUCUUUUCCUCCAUUGCAUUGUAGUUUUGCCCCAAAUAAGUUCUAUGUACAGUACUUUGAUAUCAUUAGAGCCAGUCUUUUGUGCAUUAUCUGUUUUCCCUUAACAGCAGUACUGUUUCUUUCUUAUUGUUUCUGAGUUUUUCCGAGGAUGGAUUAACCCGAUUACCUGAUGUUUGGAUUGUUUA